GAUUAGAUCACCCAUGUGUGAUGAAAGAGAUUAUUAAAGUUUAGUCAUACGACUAGGGCCAUAGUUGGGAAUUUAAGUUCUGCCACCACACAAAUAUGCCCCUGCAUUGGUCCUGGCUUACGGGUCAUCUUUUCCGACUGCCGGCGGCCAGCGGUAUCCCACCAGCUCGUCGUGCCACCCACUCAACUCACUCCCGGCGCCGGGCUUUCCUGGUUCUUCAUAAAGAAUAUGAACAAGGGUGCUGGUACACCUGCA
rnacentral:lncRNA from 1 species